rnacentral:tRNA from 1 species
CCCUCGGUCGUCUAGUUGGUUCAUGGCGUCCGACAGUAAAUCGGAUUGUCGCGUGUUCGACUCACGCCUGAGGGA